GCGCCGGUGGUCUAGCGGUUAGAACGCUGGCCUUGUAAUCCUGGGGUCUCGGGUUCGAUUCCCGGUGGUGCC
rnacentral:tRNA from 1 species